rnacentral:rRNA from 1 species
UACGGGGGGGGUAAGCGUUGUUCGGAAUCACUGGGCGUAAAGAGCUCGUAGGCGGCUUGUCGCGUCGACUGUGAAAACCCGGGGCUUAACUUCGGGCUGGCAGUCGAUACGGGCGGGCUGGAGUUCGGUAGGGGAGACUGGAAUUCCUGGUGUAGCGGUGGAAUGCGCAGAUAUCAGGAAGAACACCAACGGCGAAGGCAGCUCGCUGGGACGGAACUGACGCUAAGGCGCGAAAGCGUGGGGAGCGAACAGG